UUUCCUUUUUGAACAACAGCA
rnacentral:piRNA from 1 species